AUACGGAGGGUGCAAGCGUUACUCGGAAUCACUGGGCGUAAAGCGCGCGCAGGCGGCUAUUUAAGUUGGAUGUGAAAGCCUACGGCUCAACCGUAGAACUGCAUCCAAAACUAUUUAGCUAGAGUGUGGGAGAGGAAGAUGGAAUUAGUUGUGUAGGGGUAAAAUCCGUAGAGAUAACUAGGCAUACCAAAAGCGAAGGCAAUCUUCUGGAACACUACUGACGCUGAGGCGCGAAAGCGUGGGGAGCAAACGGGAUUAGAAACCCUAGUAGUCC
rnacentral:rRNA from 1 species